rnacentral:RNase_P_RNA from 2 species
AAAGCAAGGCGAUCUGUCGCGCCGCCUCGUGCGGUGAGGAAAGUCCGGACAGGACAGGGCGCCCCGCUGCGGAAAGCGCAGAUGGAAGAAAUUUCAUAUACUCCGUAACAGAAAACGACCGCCUUCGGGUAAGGGUGAAAACGUGGGGUAAGAGCCCACGACCGGUGUCAGCGAUGCCAUCGGGGUACGGAUUCGGGGCCUGCAAGACCAAAUAUACUGACAGACGAGGGCUGCCCGCCCGAUGUCAGGGGGUAGGUUGCGAAGAUAAAUGACAGAUUUAAAAACAGAAACCGGCUUACGGCUUUGCUUCACGC